AAGGGAGACCUAAUUCAGGUAGGAGACGAAAAAAAAGUAGUCCCAACCAAGAAUCAAUCCCAAAAGGUCGGAGCGAGGCGAAAUUGGCUUUCAAACUAGGUUCUGGGUUCACACAAGACCUGAAUCAGGAACAAGGGCUAUUAGCUCAGGUGGUUAGAGCGCACCCCUGAUAAGGGUGAGGUCCCUGGUUCGAGUCCAGGAUGGCCCACCUGCACAGGUGGCAAAAACAAGAGAAGCGAGGAAUCAGCACCUUAUCUUAUCUAUAUAUAUAUAGGAGAGAAUGCUGGCUCUGAGUAAAGAGUCCAGAGGAACCUUGAAAACUGCAUAGAGCUGGGUGAAAAAGCCAAAAAAGAAGACCGCAA
rnacentral:tRNA from 1 species